GUGGCCAAUGGGGAAGACUGUGUCUUUCAAAGAUAAAUGUGUUUCAAUAGGCUGUAGAGAUUGGAUACUUUAUGUGCAAUAAGAUGGUCAUGCGCUCAAAGAAAUUUUUAACAUGUAGGUGUUGUCUUUAUUGUAAGCGGCAAAAAAUCACCACAGCACACAGAAGCUGUUAGGAAAGAGGAGCGGUGGUUUUACGCGAGCUUGUGGAAGAAGCGAAAGAAAGAAAGAAAGAAAGAAAGAAAGAAAGAAAGAAAGAAAGAAAGAAAGAAAGAAAGAAAGAAAGAAAGAAAGAAAGGCUUGUUGAGAUCACUGCUCAGUCGAUGCGAUACAGUUCGUAAACAGUGAUAACUGUGGUAGUUGCUUCCUGAUGAUAGCUUGUACAGCGUUGGAAUGCUGAUAGCAAGGCAAUCCACGUGUGUGUUGGUGUGUUGGGUAGAGCCCUUAAUUCCUUUAUGCUUACUGCAACCGCUGUUUGAAAGAAAACGGGGAAAUGUUUAUCGACUGAAUGUUCGAUGACCGUCGUGGGCUUUCUGAAUAAGGACAGUACCUUGUCUUGCCAACAUAAAUUUCAGCGUACAGCCUACCGAUUUUUUAACACUGCCGCGCGAGUGUCGACUGGCCAACGGGGCAGCGCCUUCCAACGACACCAAGUGACGAGAUCAGCAAGAGUAGCGCAUGCGCACCAAGUUCAAUCGAAGCGCAACUUUCGUCUGCUAGGCUCUUCCUACCAGCAUGGAGAAAGAAGUUCAACAAGAGGGUACACUCGGCGAGAACUGGCAACAGGAAAUACGCCACGCUAAUAUUAACGCCAUCCGUUAGCUCCGGCGAGCAUCGGAAAAUAAGAAUGUGAAAUGAAGUUAACAGACCGUGUUUUAUCUUUUUAUUCUUUCCCGCUAAAAGUGAAAAAAAAGUUUUGGAUACAAAUUACCUUAUCUUUUGCGACUUACUUUUCUUGCGUCACCUAGCAACAAGCUCACGGCACUCCAAACGAGCCAGAUACAUUCGUCAUGCGCCAGACACGCCGCUGAAGCGAGCGAGGCCGACUGUGCUUGUGAAGUUCGCCAGUUCGGCGACCCGUCUCUCUCUCUCUUUCUUCUUUUUGGAAGUAGCCUGGUUGGUUGGGCUCCCGGCGUAUUCUUGCGUUCCUUCUGCACUUCACGGCACCACUGCACUAUUGGACUACGGCAAGGCACGCUUGCCGCGCCUGGCGCUGUGACGAAGUGAGCGGAAAGCAGCUCGGUCGUUUUUGAGAAGCUGACGCCGUCCGGUGGAGCUAUGUACGGGAUCUGCUGCUGCUUACCUGGUGCCACAACGUUGGAUGAAUGCCCCAAAAGCCCGAAAAGAGCAGUCAUAUAAGCUUUCGACCCGUUGCCAAUGGACAUAUUGGCAAUACGCUAAAUAUGAUACCGCCCGAACUGUUAUUAGCCCCGAGAACGAACGCGAGCGGCGCUGCGAGCGCCGCUCGCGUGACGUCAGGGCACGGACUCGUGCCUGUCGUCUGCUACAGUUCGGGUGUUGUCCGGGCGCAUUCUGCGGUGUUUUCGUUUGUUCGCCCUCGUUCUCUCUGCUUGUAUACUCAUGGUGGUCGUCUCAAAUAUAUUUUUACGUCUUCCUUUGCGAA